rnacentral:rRNA from 1 species
UACGUAGGGGGCAAGCGUUGUCCGGCAUCAUUGGGCGUAAAGAGCGUGUAGGCGGCUUGGUAAGUCCGCUGUGAAAGUCCAGGGCUCAACCCUGGAAUGCCGGUGGAAACUGUCAAGCUUGAGUCCGGAAGAGGCGAGUGGAAUUCCUGGUGUAGCGGUGAAAUGCGCAGAUAUCAGGAGGAACACCAAUGGCGAAGGCAGCUCGCUGGGACGGUACUGACGCUGAGACGCGAAAGCGUGGGAAGCGAGCCGG